rnacentral:rRNA from 1 species
AUAGAUUGAGCUCGGGUCAGAGUGAGCGCGGGCGGCACGCGUAUCACACGCAAAUCUGACGGUAGCGCACAGGAGGCUGGUCCUUGGGUGACGAGUGGCGGACGGGUGAGUAAUGUCUGGGGAUCUGCCCGAUAGAGGGGGAUAACCACUGGAAACGGUGGCUAAUACCGCAUAACGUCGCAAGACCAAAGAGGGGGACCUUCGGGCCUCUCACUAUCGGAUGAACCCAGAUGGGAUUAGCUAGUAGGCGGGGUAAUGGCCCACCUAGGCGACGAUCCCUAGCUGGUCUGAGAGGAUGACCAGCCACACUGGAACUGAGACACGGUCCAGACUCCUACGGGAGGCAGCAGUGGGGAAUAUUGCACAAUGGGCGCAAGCCUGAUGCAGCCAUGCCGCGUGUAUGAAGAAGGCCUUCGGGUUGUAAAGUACUUUCAGCGGGGAGGAAGGCGAUGCGGUUAAUAACCGCGUCGAUUGACGUUACCCGCAGAAGAAGCACCGGCUAACUCCGUGCCAGCAGCCGCGGUAAUACGGAGGGUGCAAGCGUUAAUCGGAAUUACUGGGCGUAAAGCGCACGCAGGCGGUCUGUUAAGUCAGAUGUGAAAUCCCCGGGCUUAACCUGGGAACUGCAUUUGAAACUGGCAGGCUUGAGUCUUGUAGAGGGGGGUAGAAUUCCAGGUGUAGCGGGAAAUGCGUAGAGAUCGGAGGAAUACCGGUGGCGAAGGCGGCCCCCGGACAAAGACGACGUCAGGUGGAAAGCUGAGCAAACUU